rnacentral:lncRNA from 1 species
GGUCUCGCUGCCAAGGAGAAGGAAGCCAGCCAUGCCAUGACAUGGGGGAGAGCUCCAGCGAUGGAGGGGAGAGGGAGCAGCACCGACAGGUGGCACGGCCUGGCAGACUUGAGGGAAGACACCGUCACACGAGCGUGGUCUCGUGCGGGAGGCGCAGCCUAGCGUCGUGGCUUGGGGCAGCCUGGCAAUCUCGAGGGAAGACGUCGACAGAGGUACUAUUUGGUUGAGGUGGGGAAGAAAGAAACUAACCUAGCUAGAUACCAGAUUGGUGAAUGAAAACUUUAGCCCUAGACAGGGUAGAAAGCUGUAUUAAUAAUAGAGUAAAAUGGGUAUAUGCUUAUUACAAAGAUAUAUUACACACAGUACAUCAUUACGCCACACAAUAAAUCUAACACAACUGAAUCAUAAUUAUUGGUCAUAGUGACGGGUCCAAUUUUUCACUAAACUAUAUUGUUUCUAUACAUGAUCUGAUCCUUUUCAGGCCGACCUUUUUGCG